UACGGAGGGGGCUAGCGUUGUUCGGAAUUACUGGGCGUAAAGCGCGUGUAGGCGGUCCGGUAAGUCCGCUGUGAAAGUCGGGGGCUCAACCCUCGGAUGCCGGUGGAUACUGUCGGGCUUGAGUACGGAAGAGGCGAGUGGAAUUCCUGGUGUAGCGGUGAAAUGCGCAGAUAUCAGGAAGAACACCAACGGCGAAGGCAGCUCGCUGGGACGGUACUGACGCUGAGACGCGACAGCGUGGGGAGCAAACAGG
rnacentral:rRNA from 1 species